AAAGCAAGAAUGGGUUUAUAGAAAAACAAAAGUAAAGCAAGACUGAUCCCUGUCUACUCUUGUCAGUGUCUGAAUUUCGAAACAGCUAAUACCAGAAGCCAUGAAAAUCUUCGCUUUCACCUCUCUCUUCUUCUUCACUCUUGUUGUUUCUCACAGGGGAUUAACUGAAGCUUUGUCAACAAGACAACAAGAGCAAGCCCACCUCCCUCCGAGAGGUUGGAACUCAUAUGAUUCCUUUUCAUGGACCAUCUCAGAGGAGGAGUUCCUGCAAAAUGCAGAAAUCAUCUCUCAGAAGUUACUAAGUCACGGAUAUAAGUACGUUGUGGUGGAUUACCUCUGGUAUAGGAGAAAGGUGGAAGGUGCUUACACAAAUUCACUUGGAUAUGAUGUGAUAGAUGAAUGGGGAAGGGUAAUCCCUGAUCCCAAUAGAUGGCCUUCCUCCAGAGGUGGUAAAGGAUUCACUGAAGUAGCCAAGAGAGUACAUGAUAUGGGAUUGAAGUUUGGGAUUCAUGUUAUGAGAGGAAUAAGCACACAGGCAGUCAAUGCAAACUCUCCCAUCUUAGAUGUUUUCAAGGGAGCUGCAUAUGAGGAGUCUGGACGUCAGUGGCAGGCAAAAGAUAUAGGACUGAGAGAGAGGGCUUGCGCAUGGAUGUCACAGGGUUUCAUGAGUGUGGAUACCAAGUUGGGAGCUGGAAGAGCCUUCUUGAGGUCAUUGUAUUACCAGUAUGCAGAAUGGGGUGUUGAUUUUGUAAAGCAUGAUUGCAUAUUUGGUGAUGACUUGGAUGUAGAUGAAAUAAGUGCUGUUUCAGAGAUCUUGGAGAAGCUUGACCGCCCUAUGUUGUAUUCUCUCUCUCCUGGAACUAGUGUAACACCUACCAUGGCGAAGGAUAUAAGCAGUCUUGUGAACAUGUACAGAAUAACAGGGGAUGAUUGGGAUUCAUGGGGCGAUGUGGCAGCUCACUUUAACAUAUCAAGGGACUUUGCUGCCACCAAUAUGAUAGGAGCAAAUGGCUUGAAAGGGAAGUCUUGGCCAGACCUAGACAUGCUACCACUAGGAUGGCUUACAGAUCCAGGUUCAAAUCUAGGUCCCCACAGGAAAUGCAAUCUCACUCUUGAUGAGCAAAGAACUCAGAUGACUUUGUGGUCUAUAGCCAAGUCCCCUCUCAUGUUUGGAGGUGAUAUGAGGAAGCUAGACAAGAAAACAUAUGAUCUCAUCACCAAUCCUACCCUAUUGGAAAUAAACUGGUUUAGUGCAAACAAUAUGGAGUUUCCUUACAUCAGAGGUACAGAAGAUCUCAGAAAUAGCAAAGGAGUCCUGAUUCCUCAAUCUAAAAGUCUCAAGGAUACAGACACAUUACAUAAACACGUUUUCAAUCUUAUAAGCUGUAAGGAACAUAGAGCAAAAGGUUGGGUCAUUGAAGCACUCAAUCAAGAUAUUGAAAGAAUUUGCUGGCAAGAUUACUUCCUGAAAAGACACAAGCUACCAGUUUGCCUAAACAAGAGAAAACCUCUCCUGACAUCAGAUUCAGAGAUAAUUUACAAAGAGAACCAUCAAGGAAAGCUCCAUUUACUAGCAACAGGCACCACAGAUAUAUGCUUGGAUGCUUCUACAAACAGGAAACUUGCUUCACAUGAACUGAGGAGUUGUUCAUUGUCCCCUUGCAGAUGGGAUGCUAAUCAGAUGUGGGAGUUAAACUUUAAUGGGACACUUGUGAACAGCUAUUCUGGUCUUUGUGCAACAGUAAAGAUGGUUGAAGGUAAUGAUAUUUAUAAUGGAAUCCGCUCUUGGGUUGCAACUGGAAGACAAGGAGAGAUAUACAUCUCAUUUUUCAAUCUGAGCCCUAGCAGAAUGAUAAUAUCUGCAAAGAUAUCAGAUCUUCUUAAGGUUGACGAUUUGAAUGAGAGAGUUCAGGUCUGAGAAUAGCCAGUGGUCGCUUUGUGCAAGAAAAUUCUGAAGACUGAAGGUUUGGUUUUUAUCCAGUCCAUCCCUCCAAAGCAGUAUCUAUGAAUUCCUUUCAGUUUAUCUUAAAAACCAAGAACCUUAGAGCGCUUCUCUGGGAGGGGUAAACCGGAUAUGAACCCAACCUCGAAGUAACUGCUCACUGCAGGCUGGAAGGAGACCUACAGCAACAGGGAAUUCAAUUGAUAAAAAGUUGACCUUAAAUCAAUGAGUUUUAAAAAAUUCAUCAAAUUCAUACCCUAAAUAAUUCUGUAAAUUGGAAACAAUACAGAAUCUGAUUUGAGGUCAGGUUUCAGAUAUACCUUUCUUGCUCAAAUCCAGAUCAGUUGUGGAGGGUGGAUUUAGGCCCACUGAUCGAAUGGAAACAUGGCAAAAUACUAAAAGUCAGCUGAAAGCUGAGAUAGCCGUGGCCCCCCAGAUGGCUUCAAUGAGACGAUUCAAGGAGACGUGGAGAUUGGAAAGUGUUUCCCAAAGGGACGAGAGGGAUGCAUCAUGCAUGAAUGGAAAGUUAAAAUGUGUUUGGAGGAAGAAGGUGUUUUCUGUUUUCAGAGAGUUUCUACUUUUUAGGCGUUUGUUUGCGUGCACGUUUAUUUUUGUUGCAAAUUUUGUCGUGUGAUUAAAUUGCUUUCGCCUUUCGGUUUUCCGAUCAAAAUUGGAGUGGCAAUUGGCAAAUGGACGGGUUAUACUGGAAUCUGGAUGUAUGCUUGUAGGCGUAGGAAUAGGAUGAAGUAAAGAAUUCACUCAAUUC